GGCUCACCUAGGCGACGAUCCCUAGCUGGUCUGAGAGGAUGACCAGCCACACUGGAACUGAGACACGGUCCAGACUCCUACGGGAGGCAGCAGUGGGGAAUAUUGCACAAUGGGCGCAAGCCUGAUGCAGCCAUGCCGCGUGUGUGAAGAAGGCCUUCGGGUUGUAAAGCACUUUCAGCGGGGAGGAAGGCGAUAAGGUUAAUAACCUUGGCGAUUGACGUUACCCGCAGAAGAAGCACCGGCUAACUCCGUGCCAGCAGCCGCGGUAAUACGGAGGGUGCAAGCGUUAAUCGGAAUUACUGGGCGUAAAGCGCACGCAGGCGGUCUGUCAAGUCGGAUGUGAAAUCCCCGGGCUCAACCUGGGAACUGCAUUCGAAACUGGCAGGCUAGAGUCUUGUAGAGGGGGGUGGAAUUCCAGGUGUAGCGGUGAAAUGCGUAGAGAUCUGGAGGAAUACCGGUGGCGAAGGCGGCCCCCUGGACAAAGACUGACGCUCAGGUGCGAAAGCGUGGGGAGCAAACAGGAUUAGAUACCCUGGUAGUCCACGCCGUAAACGAUGUCGAUUUGGAGGUUGUGCCCUUGAGGCGUGGCUUCCGGAGCUAACGCGUUAAAUCGACCGCCUGGGGAGUACGGCCGCAAGGUUAAAACUCAAAUGAAUUGACGGGGGCCCGCACAAGCGGUGGAGCAUGUGGUUUAAUUCGAUGCAACGCGAAGAACCUUACCUGGUCUUGACAUCCACAGAACUUUCCAGAGAUGGAUUGGUGCCUUCGGGAACUGUGAGACAGGUGCUGCAUGGCUGUCGUCAGCUCGUGUUGUGAAAUGUUGGGUUAAGUCCCGCAACGAGCGCAACCC
rnacentral:rRNA from 1 species